CCUUCGAUAGCUCAGUUGGUAGAGCGGUGGACUGUAGAUAGUAAGGGGGGAGAGGCCUUCUGCAGAAAUGCAUCCAAGAUCACCACCUCCAGUCAAAAUAUAGUAGUAAUCCAUAGGUCACUGGUUCAAAUCCGGUUCGAAGGA
rnacentral:tRNA from 1 species